ACCCUUCCGAUCAGCAAGGUACAUAUACCUCUUUGAUUGGAAGGGUUUCCUUCCACUCAACGAGGUACGUCCUCUUUGACCGGAAGGAAACCCUUCCAGUCAACAAGGCAAUGACCCUCGUUGAUCAGAAGGGU
rnacentral:miRNA from 1 species